rnacentral:rRNA from 1 species
UGGUGGAGUGAUUUGUCUGGUUAAUUCCGUUAACGAACGAGACCUUAACCUGCUAACUAGUCGCUUCUUCACAAAAGGGGUUGACUUCUUAGAGGGACUACGUAUUUUAAAUACGGGGAAGUGUGAGGCAAUAACA